rnacentral:rRNA from 1 species
GACCGAUAGUGAACCAGUACCGUGAGGGAAAGGCGAAAAGAACCCCGGCGAGGGGAGUGAAAAAGAACCUGAAACCGUGUACGUACAAGCAGUGGGAGCCCCACCACUAAGCCAGUGGUGAACUCCACAUCCGCAUCCUUUGCUGAGGAUACGGUUAACGGAGCGAAAGCGACGUUCAACCGCAAAACAAGCAGAGGGGGCUUAGUGGUGGGGUGACUGCGUACCUUUUGUAUAAUGGGUCAGCGACUUAUAUUCUGUAGCAAGGUUAACCGAAUAGGGGAGCCGGAGGGAAACCGAGUCUUAAUUGGGCGUUAAGUUGCAGGGUAUAGACCCGAAACCCGGUGAUCUAGCCAUGGGCAGGUUGAAGGUUGGGUAACACUAACUGGAGGACCGAACCGACUAAUGUUGAAAAAUUAGCGGAUGACCUGUGGCUGGGGGUGAAAGGCCAAUCAAACCGGGAGAUAGCUGGUUCUCCCCGAAAGCUAUUUAGGUAGCGCCUCGUGAAUUCAUCUCCGGGGGUAGAGCACUGUUUCGGCUAGGGGGCCAUCCCGGCUUACCAACCCGAUGCAAACUGCGAAUACCGGAGAAUGUUAUCACGGGAGACACACGGCGGGUGCUAACGUCCGUCGUGAAGAGGGAAACAACCCAGACCGCCAGCUAAGGUCCCAAAGUCAUGGUUAAGUGGGAAACGAUGUGGGAAGGCCCAGACAGCCAGGAUGUUGGCUUAGAAGCAGCCAUCAUUUAAAGAAAGCGUAAUAGCUCACUGGUCGAGUCGGCCUGCGCGGAAGAUGUAACGGGGCUAAACCAUGCACCGAAGCUGCGGCAGCGAACGUAUCACCCAAGACAACUUUACGGAGUUGACGAUUGACGGAGCGAAGCGACGUCAAAGCGUUCAUUAAAGUCGAGUUGGCUUAGGGAUACGUUCGUUGGGUAGGGGAGCGUUCUGUAAGCCUGUGAAGGUGUGUCGUGAGGCAUGCUGGAGGUAUCAGAAGUGCGAAUGCUGACAUAAGUAACGAUAAAGCGGGUGAAAAGCCCGCUCGCCGGAAGACCAAGGGUUCCUGUCCAACGUUAAU